UUAUAUUGUUUAUUUAGAUUUAUUUAUUUUUAGUUAAUUUAUUAAUAUAUUAUAUAUAAUAUAAAUAUAUAAGUAAUUAUGAUUAAAUUAGUAUAAAUUUUUGUAAAUUUAGUUAUGAGUUUUAGAUAAGAUUAAGGAAUUCGGCAAAUAUAUUUUCUGCCUGUUUAUUAAAAACAUGUCUUUUUGUAAUUAUUUAAAGUCGAGCCUGCCCUAUGAUUAUUUAAAUGGCCGCGGUAUUUUGACCGUGCAAAGGUAGCAUAAUAAUUAGUUUCUUAAUUAGAAGCUGGUAUGAAUGGUUUGACAAGAAAAUUUCUGUCUCAAUUUUAGUAUUAGAAUUUAACUUUUGAGUCAAAAGGCUUAAAUGAUUUUAAAAGACGAGAAGACCCUAUAGAAUUUAACACUUGAUUUACUUAGAAUUAUAUAGAUUAUUUAUUUUUAAGUAAAUCAAGUGUUUUAUUGGGGUGAUGGAAAAACUUAAAUAACUUUUUCUUAUUUUAUUCAUUAAUUUAUGU
rnacentral:rRNA from 1 species